CCAUAACCAUUCCCACUUUGGAGGAUAUUUUCAAGAUUCACAUCAAUUAUUUCUUGUUUAAGGCCUCCACCUAUAUGAACCAAUAAAAUUCAUUAGCAUAGUAAAUAGUAAGAUAGAGCUCAUGAACUUUUAUUCUUUAUUAAUAGAUGGUAAUUAGUGAUUGACUGACUCUUUAUAUGACUCUUUAUAAGUAUUGUGUACCCUUAAUAUUUCCAUUAAUAUUAUCUUUGGUUAUCAAAAAUAAAUUUAAAUGUCCUUUAAUAGUGCAAAAAUAAUCUAAGAUGAAAUUUAAUGUGUGCAUGUGAUGUAAAUAAAAUAAUAUUAAAGAAGGAUGAUAUGUAAGUAAAAUUCAAGUCAUACAUAUAGAGGCAUCAACACUGGCAACAGAUGUCACAUUAGAAGGAAUAAGUGCUGUGUUUUCAUCAAUAACUGGUUCUUCACCUGGCCCACCCAACAAAUCUACAAAAUCAUUCCAUUGCAUUAUAUUCAACUUUUUUAAUCAAAUAUAUAUUAGAAUCAUUCCUCCACAAAAUUCAUGCUACUUAACAAAAUAUGAAAGAUAUAUACAGACAUAUGAAUGGACCUAUAUAUACUUAAUUACCUGUGUAUUCUCCAUCAACUUUAACCUCCAAAGUAAUCUCUGGCUGUUUAUUGUUUGCAGCCAUGAUAACUCUCCAAUCACUAUCUUUUGAUGAGGAAUCAGUUUCUUGUUGUUUGGGUACAGAGGCUUCAUUAGCCCCACCUACAACUCCCCAAUCACCCCAAAAGUGUUUCUUCCUUGGUGCAACUCGACCUUUUGGGUCUUGUGAUGUCACAUUAUUCCCAUCAAUGCUUCCGAUACCUGAAGAUCAAGUUAAAUAGGAAUAGUUUGUGGUUUAUCUUAUCCAGUGUUUUAAACCGUGGUUGCAAUUGGGAUCAUGGUUGCAGUUAUUGCAAUGUGGUUUGAUACAGCCUGAUGUACUUGUGUUGCGGUCUAAUAUAUUGGGUAUUCUAAGUGUGAAUGAAGAAGUCUUAUAUUGGACAAAAGUGGAUGGACCCAUAGACCUAAUGCAUUAAGGUUUUGAGUCAAGAUGUGGUGUCAAGCCCAUCUAUAUGCUUCUUUCACUUAGCUCAUAGAAGAAUGUUAUAACUCAUGGAUGAAGAUAUUCCAAUAGAAUAUGAUCACAUCAUUUUGAUUCUAUGUCAAAUCACAAUUACUGUAUGGUGCAACCACAAUAUUGUGGUUGUAUGACGUGAUUAAAGAGCCCUAUAUAGAACAUUAGUAGAUCUCAAUAGAUAAUACUG
rnacentral:lncRNA from 1 species